UAUAACACUCCAACGAAGUUCUGCAGCAUUCUGCACUGCAGAUAUAUUUACGUGUUAUUUUUCCGUUCCAAAAUAUUUAUUGUCAUCCAAAGGUUCGUACCACGUUUGAACAGUUCAGCCACCACAACAGUGCUUAUUAUGGAAGCGCAAAUCAAUUUCGCCAUAACGCUGCUUUUUUUCGGUGUGACCGCUGGUAGUGCUGUUAAAUUGACAUCUCCCUUGCGACCAGCCGUGGGCGUGGUCAGCGAGAAAAUAUCUGCAGUGAACGGUUCCUCAUCGCGUCGUACGACAGACACGAUUGAGAUGCCGGUCGGCGGGGGAACAGCACUGGGAUACUUGGAAGACCUGGAUUUGGGCUACACCGCUUCCCAUGAACUUAAGGCCGUGUGCAGCGGCAGCAGCGUUGCUUUAACCCUUAUCGGAACAGAUUCCGAUCGGCAUCUGCAGAGCUCCAGCUUGGUGGUGGGCGAUGGCGGUGCCGGUUGUCAGGCAGCUGCGGAGUACUACAGUUUAUGGUUUGUCGAGUUUGAUCUCGUUGUCCGUGGAUGUGGCCGAACCCAUGAUGCUGCCAGAAAAGUGUACAAAUGGCAGGUUACGGUGCUGCAUUAUCCUUUACCAAAAGACGGUAUUGCGGUAGCCCCCAUACCGACCGUGUACAUAGUGGCUUGUGAAGCAAAAAGUUCCAUCGACAUUAAUUUGGAGGACCACGGAGUAACCGCGACCAGCCAGCUCGACGCGUUCUGCAACGGAAAGAAUGUGGAGCUGAGUUUAAUUGUCGCAGACCCUGGCAACGAACUGAAGAAACUGGUUCUUGUAGUCGGACGCACUGGCGAAGCGUCUUGCAGCGCCGAUACUGGCAAUACCAAUAUGGUCAUUCUGAAUACUGCGGACACGGCAAACGGAUGUGGUCGCAGUGCAGCUCUGGGUAGUGGUGACAAAAUAACCUAUACGUGGUCCGUGACGGUAAAUCAUUUCCUAGAACCUUGGGGAACUGCAGCGAACCCAAUUAGUACAAUGCACACGGCGACAUGCGACGUAUUGAUCGGUGUACCCACUGCUGUUACCGAUAAUCCGCAACCGCUGCCAGUAAUCGGGGAAGAUUUGGCCGGAAGCAGUCCACCAAUUGCUCUUAAAUUAGUUAGAGAGCCGAGUAGCACCAGUAGGAUAUGGACGCUGACGCUGUCACCAGUGGAAACUAACGCUCUCCCUGCAGAUUUGUCGUAUAUGAUUGAAACGUGCACGGCAACGCCUACCGGUGCUGCUACGCCUAUUUUCCACUUCAUACGAGACGGAUGUAUAAUUCCGAAGUCCGGUGUAAAGGGCACAUACGAUAUAGCUAAGAAGGAGUACAAGCUCACCGUUAGGGCUUUUGGGUUUGCCGGGCAAUCAGGAACAGUUUCCAUUCAGUGCGCUGCCGCUUUGUGUGAAGUUUUAGACAGUGGAACAGGAUUGUGCAUGCGGCAAGGGGUAACCCUUCUUGAAUGCGUUCCGCGGUAGCCAGAAAUUAUCGAAAGGAGAAACAAACAAAAUAGCACUUCUCAGGUAGCGCGCUACUUCACGAGGAGGAUCAGAAGUGCUUCGACUGAACGUUGGCAAUUGGCUCGAAAACUUAGCCUCGCGAAGACCCUUUGGUACCGGCAUGGAAGGAAAAUACCAGUUGCGAAACUUCCUUAAGCCCUGUAGAACGACGUUAUAAA